rnacentral:rRNA from 1 species
AUUGAGCGCUGGCGGCAGGCCUAACACAUGCAAGUCGAGCGGCAGCGGAAAGUAGCUUGCUACUUUGCCGGCGAGCGGCGGACGGGUGAGUAAUGUCUGGGAAACUGCCUGAUGGAGGGGGAUAACUACUGGAAACGGUAGCUAAUACCGCAUAACGUCGCAAGACCAAAGAGGGGGACCUUCGGGCCUCUUGCCAUCAGAUGUGCCCAGAUGGGAUUAGCUAGUAGGUGGGGUAACGGCUCACCUAGGCGACGAUCCCUAGCUGGUCUGAGAGGAUGACCAGCCACACUGGAACUGAGACACGGUCCAGACUCCUACGGGAGGCAGCAGUGGGGAAUAUUGGACAAUGGGCGCAAGCCUGAUGCAGCCAUGCCGCGUGUAUGAAGAAGGCCUUCGGGUUGUAAAGUACUUUCAGCGGGGAGGAAGGUGUUGAGGUUAAUAACCUCAGCAAUUGACGUUACCCGCAGAAGAAGCACCGGCUAACUCCGUGCCAGCCGCCGCCGUAA